ensembl:lncRNA
AAGUUAUAGAGCGCUGUUCAAGUAUCAAUUAUCAUCGUGGUGCUUCACUGCCCAGCGGUCCCCAGAGACUGGAAUAGGUGCCCGUAACUUCGAGAAUAACGGGAAUAAUGAACCAUCAUGAAGCGCUUACUGCUCUGAGGAACACCACUUCAUGUGAAGUGCUUAAUUCAAGCCUCUCACGCAUCCUGCAAGGAGCAGCAUCUCCAUGGACAGGUGAGGGAGGCAACAGCUGGGAUGACUGGGGCACAACCAGUGGUCUGGCCACGCUUCCUCUGGUGGCCUUCAGGGCCUUACAAACACCGACAGACGUUACCUCCAGGACCCUCACGAGGACCCUCUGCGUCAAGCUGUCAUCGUCACUCCUGUUUUACAGUCUGCAGGCCGGGGAGGCCCCCUGGAGGACCAGCUUGCUCUGAGGGGUAACAGCAGGGGCCGACGACCGGGAACUCGAGAGACAGGCCAGCACCCGGCUCUAACGACCGACCGCCUGCUUGCUUCACUGUCAGCCUCCUCGGCAGCAGGACGCUCCCACACCUGUCUGGCCUACGUGUUCUUCAGACCACGUCCUCAUCUGCCGUCAGAAUUCUAUUCUUUAGGACUCCCACCCUGGGCCUUGCCCAAAUCACUUGCUUUUCCCCCCUUACUAGGGGACCCCGUUUUUUUCUGGCAUCUAUGCACUCUGUGCUUCCCUCGUGGCUCAGAUGAUGAAGAAUCGGCCCCACAAUGCAGGAGACCCGGGUUCAAUCCCUGGGUCAGAAAGAUCCCCUGGAGAAGGACAUGGCAACCCAUUCCAGUGUCCUUGCCUGGAGAAUCCCAUGGACAGAGGAGCCUGGCGGGCUACAGUCCCUGGGAUGGCAAAGAGUCAGAUAGGACUGAGCCACUAACACUUUCACUUUCAUGCACUCUGUACCCACCUUGAGUCCUGAGCCCCAUCCAGGAGCACCUGAGCCCCCAUUACGACCCGCGCCACCCUCCCAGGGAAGCACCACACCCUUAGGAGCCUUGCUAGCCCGAGGAGCUGUCCAGAGCGUCAACAGAGGAAGAAUUCCUCGCACCACCCACCAUCCCGCUGACCACGUGAGCCCCGUGGACAGGACAGCCGCAGGCUGUCAGGAUGUCACAGGGUGUCGAAGGAGGGCCACAUGGAGGGGCGCACGCCGUUCACAGACCACUGCCAUGCCGCCGCCUGUCCCUGCCAGUGUCCCCUGACUGCCGAAGCCUUGGCACGAAGGUCUCAGAGUGGGGCCCGGUCCCCGCGCAUGGCUGGCGCGUUCUCAGAUGCCACCCUCCUGUGGUCCCUGCCCUUCUGCUGAGCCUGGUUGUCUUUCUGUGGAUUCUAUGAGCCACUUGAUAUCCUUCUAGUAGUCCCUGUUUCUGCUUGAAUGAGUCCACGGUUUAUGCCAUUGGCAAGCAAGGGUGGGCCACAGCUCCCUCCCAGGGCUGCUGGAAGCACUGCUGGCUGGAGGGGGGCACCCGGGGCAGAGGUCAUUUGUGAGGGAGCACUACAGGGGGAGCACCGUGAGGGAGCAUCAUGAGGGAGCUGGAGCCCUGGGCUGACCCGAGGCCUGGGGGCCCCGGACCCCAAGCCUGGUCCUGGAGGGUUAGCGUGUGUGACAUGGAGGCCAAGAGUCCUGAGCACAGGGAGCCGGCUCCGCUGACCAGCUCAUCACCAAGAAAUCCAGGAGGCCUCCUCGCGCCCCCAGAGGGGUGGAAGUUUGGCACCAGCAGGGACCGAGGGCCCUGGGGGCUGAGGC